CCUACGGGUGGCUGCAGUGGGGAAUAUUGGACAAUGGGCGAAAGCCUGAUCCAGCCAUGCCGCGUGUGUGAAGAAGGCCUUCGGGUUGUAAAGCACUUUCAGUGGGGAAGAAAGCCUUGGGGCUAAUACCCUCGAGGAAGGACAUCACCCACAGAAGAAGCACCGGCUAACUCCGUGCCAGCAGCCGCGGUAAUACGGAGGGUGCGAGCGUUAAUCGGAAUUACUGGGCGUAAAGCGCGCGUAGGCGGUCUGAUAAGCCGGUUGUGAAAGCCCCGGGCUCAACCUGGGAACGGCAUCCGGAACUGUCAGGCUAGAGUGCAGGAGAGGAAGGUAGAAUUCCCGGUGUAGCGGUGAAAUGCGUAGAGAUCGGGAGGAAUACCAGUGGCGAAGGCGGCCUUCUGGACUGACACUGACGCUGAGGUGCGAAAGCGUGGGUAGCAACAGGAUUAGAUACCCCAGUAGUC
rnacentral:rRNA from 1 species